rnacentral:rRNA from 2 species
UGAGGAAUAUUGGACAAUGGAUGGAAAUCUGAUCCAGCCAUGCCGCGUGAAGGAUUACGGUCCUAUGGAUUUUAAACUUCUUUUGUAUGGGAGCAAUAAGGGGCACGCGUGCUCUGAUGAGAGUACCAUACGAAUAAGCAUCGGCUAACUCCGUGCCAGCAGCCGCGGUAAUACGGAGGAUGCGAGCGUUAUCCGGAUUUAUUGGGUUUAAAGGGUGCGUAGGCGGCGACUGUAAGUCAGUGGUGAAAUUUUGAUGCUUAACAUUAAAAGUGCCAUAGAUACUGCAGGGCUAGAAUAGGGAUGCUGUCAGCGGAAUGUGUAGUGUAGCGGUGAAAUGCAUAGAUAUUACACAGAACACCGAUUGCGAAGGCAGCUGACAAAACCCUCAUUGACGCUGAAGCACGAAAGUGUGGGGAUCAAACAGG